GCCUGGGUGGCUCAGUCGGUUGAGCGUCUGACUUCGGCUCAGGUCACGAUCUCACAGUUUGUGAGUUCAAGCCCCGCGUUGGGCU
rnacentral:tRNA from 1 species